rnacentral:rRNA from 1 species
GACGAACGCUGGCGGCGUGCCUAAUACAUGCAAGUUGAGCGCUGAAGGUUGGUACUUGUACCAACUGGAUGAGCAGCGAACGGGUGAGUAACGCGUGGGGAAUCUGCCUUUGAGCGGGGGACAACAUUUGGAAACGAAUGCUAAUACCGCAUAAAAACUUUAAACACAAGUUUUAAGUUUGAAAGAUGCAAUUGCAUCACUCAAAGAUGAUCCCGCGUUGUAUUAGCUAGUUGGUGAGGUAAAGGCUCACCAAGGCGAUGAUACAUAGCCGACCUGAGAGGGUGAUCGGCCACAUUGGGACUGAGACACGGCCCAAACUCCUACGGGAGGCAGCAGUAGGGAAUCUUCGGCAAUGGACGAAAGUCUGACCGAGCAACGCCGCGUGAGUGAAGAAGGUUUUCGGAUCGUAAAACUCUGUUGGUAGAGAAGAACGUUGGUGAGAGUGGAGAGCUCAUCAAGUGACGGUAACUACCCAGAAAGGGACGGCUAACUACGUG